rnacentral:lncRNA from 1 species
UGUUUUGGUGCAUUUAUAUGAUUGAAUUCCUUCUUUUCUUAUGAUAUUUUCAUUGGUGAUUCAACUAAGAAGCUCAGAGAGAUAGAGAGAGGCAUUCUGUGUUGGAACUUGAGAACUUCGACGACCUGGAACGGCGGCUCACGGCGACGUGGUGACCACGGUGAGUUCACGGUAGAUUGGAAACUAUAGAAAGCGAGAACAAAGAUAUGGCGGUGCCAACAAAUGCACCUUUUUCGGUUUUUAUUCAUGCCUAUUAUAUACAUAUGCAUGCGUGAUAUCUUGGCCAAAUCGCCAAGUAUCCCCUCGCGCCACGCCGCACAUCAUGCGCG